UGUAAUGUGGUCACAUUUUACUGUUACUGAGACCUAUGUCAUUUGGAAAUCAUAGCAAUUAGUGAGAAAUGUUGAUUUUUACAAGUUCAAACUGUAUGAUUUGCAAAUAAAGUGUGUUUAUCAUCUGUAUGUAUUUACAUUCAGUUUCUUUUGGUGGCCAGUUUGAAAAUUGCAUGUCAUGCCUACCUAAUUUGCAUAUUCAACUGGUGUCCACCC